UGAUACCCGAUCUUGAUGUGUUCCACGA
rnacentral:sRNA from 1 species